rnacentral:rRNA from 1 species
UGCGUAGGCGGAUAGAUUAGUCAGAGGUGAAAUCCUGCAGCUUAACUAUAGAAUUGCCUUUGAUACUGUUUAUCUUGAAUUAGGUUGAGGUCAGCGGAAUGUGGCAUGUAGCGGUGAAAUGCAUAGAUAUGCCAUAGAACACCAAUUGCGAAGGCAGCUGGCUAGGCUUUAAUUGACGCUGAGGCACGAAAGCGUGGGGAGCGAACAGGAUUAGAUACCCUGGUAGUCC